rfam:Perkinsus marinus ATCC 50983 gcontig_1104296654854, whole genome shotgun sequence.
GCCGGGAUGGUCUAGUGGUUAUGACGUCUGCCUUACACGCCGAAGAUCGCGAGUUCAAUCCUCGCUCCUGGUA